GAUGAACGCUGGCGGCGUGCCUAAUACAUGCAAGUCGAGCGAACAGACGAGGAGCUUGCUCCUCUGACGUUAGCGGCGGACGGGUGAGUAACACGUGGAUAACCUACCUAUAAGACUGGGAUAACUUCGGGAAACCGGAGCUAAUACCGGAUAAUAUAUUGAACCGCAUGGUUCAAUAGUGAAAGACGGUUUUGCUGUCACUUAUAGAUGGAUCCGCGCCGCAUUAGCUAGUUGGUAAGGUAACGGCUUACCAAGGCGACGAUGCGUAGCCGACCUGAGAGGGUGAUCGGCCACACUGGAACUGAGACACGGUCCAGACUCCUACGGGAGGCAGCAGUAGGGAAUCUUCCGCAAUGGGCGAAAGCCUGACGGAGCAACGCCGCGUGAGUGAUGAAGGUCUUCGGAUCGGAAAACUCUGUUAUUAGGGAAGAACAAAUGUGUAAGUAGCUAUGCACGUCUUGACGGUACCUAAUCAGAAAGCCACGGCUAACUACGUG
rnacentral:rRNA from 1 species